CCCCAACUGUGUGCUGGCACUGAGGACCCAGCAGCCACAAAGACAGACAAAGUCUUGCUCUCAUGAAACUUAAUGACCAUAUUAAUACGCAAAGCUCACACUUCCACACUCUCACGGCAUGCCAGGCACUAUGUUUAGCAACUUACAUAUAUUAACUCAUUUAGUCACUGUGAUAAUCCCAUUACUCUUCCCAUUUUACUAAUGAUGAAAUACAGGCACAGAAAUGUUAAGUUACUUACCCCAAACCACACAGCCAGUAAAUAGAGCCAGGAGUGAAUCCAAGGCAUCUGGCUCCUGGGUCCAUGCUCUUAAUCACUAUACUAUGUAGCCUCUAACUAAUGAGAAGUAUCAUUUCAGAUAGUGCUAAGAGCUACAAAGAAACAAAAAUAGUGGGUGAGGGGACGCUGGGAGCCAGGUUGGUUGUGAGUAUAUCCUGAAUUGUUGGCAUUUGACAUGAGCCCUAUUAACAAGAAGGAGCCGGCCAUGUGAUGACACGAGAGAGGAGCAUGUGCACAGGCCCAGAGGCAGCGUGGAAGCUGGCUUGUUAGAGGAACAGAAGGAGGGGGAAGGUCACAAUAGCUGAACCCCAGAUAGGAAGGGGCUCCGUGAUGUACUAGACUAACUCCUGGAUCCCACAGCAGCCAUGUAGUUCUUACCUGUGGAUAUUCCUGACCAACAGGUUGACUUUCCUCCACUUGGCCAAUCAGGAACCCAGGGCCCUUCCCUCUGUGGCUUCACAGUUGGCACCCCAUGGCCCACAUGGCUAACACAGAUGAGAUGACGGCUCAACUCCAGGCAUCCAGGGGGAGCUUGUGCCCACUUGGCAAACAGAACUCAAGAAUCCAGCUGUGUGAGGGGUCCUGCCACACCCAGGCAUCGCCCUCCUUACCCCAAAUUGAGUACCAGAAUUAAGAAGAAGCACAGGCCAUGGAAUGAUACAGCAGACUCAAUAUAAAUAAAAUAUUCAUAUAAAAAUAGUCUCUUACA
rnacentral:lncRNA from 13 species